rnacentral:rRNA from 1 species
UACGAAGGGUGCAAGCGUUACUCGGAAUUACUGGGCGUAAAGGGCGCGUAGGUGGCCAACUAAGUCAGACGUGAAAUCCCUCGGCUUAACCGGGGAACUGCGUCUGAUACUGGAUGGCUUGAGGUUGGGAGAGGGAUGCGGAAUUCCAGGUGUAGCGGUGAAAUGCGUAGAUAUCUGGAGGAACACCGGUGGCGAAGGCGGCAUCCUGGACCAAUUCUGACGCUGAGGAGCGAAAGCCAGGGGAGCAAAGCGGG